CCCAGAAAACAAUUUGUGAGAUGUUAGAUGCUGGUUAGUUCUUGUUCGACAAUGACAACGGCUCCGCGAGGCAGUGGAAAUCAAAAACAAUAUUCAGAGCUCAAUUAGCGGAAAAAAAACCGUAAUCGCGUGUUCGAACGGUCAUUUAUUAUGCGCGAGAUUGUGCGUUCCCUAGUAGGGGGAUUCUAAGCAGUUCGAGACAGCGGGCUUCCUUUAUUCGCGUGUUUGUGCUCAUCAGGAGAUGUGCAUCCGGAGUAAAUAUUAAAUACAUAGUGCAAAACAUCCUCCAAAGGUUGCUGUGGAGAAGUUAAGAAUAUUCUCGCUGGGACUAAUGCCCUGAUGCAGUUCUCUCCCGCCACGAUACCAUUAGCACUUAGUGCUGCAGCAAAAAUGGCGUUCCUUUUCGGAUCCUCGUCUUCGAUUUUUAUGUUCUAUACUAUCAAAAAGUUACCACCAUCGACCAGACCAAUGCGUUCUAUGCUGAUAUUGUGUAGGAGGACCCUGCUCCGGAGACUG